CCUACGGGAGGCAGCAGUGAGGAAUAUUGGUCAAUGGGAGAGAUCCUGAACCAGCCAAGCCGCGUGAGGGAAGACGGCCCUAUGGGUUGUAAACCUCUUUUGUCGGAGAACAAAACCCGGGACGUGUCCCGGGCUGCGUGUAUCCGAAGAAAAAGCAUCGGCUAACUCCGUGCCAGCAGCCGCGGUAAUACGGAGGAUGCGAGCGUUAUCCGGAUUUAUUGGGUUUAAAGGGUGCGUAGGGGGUCCUUUAAGUCAGCGGGAAAAUUUCGGGGCUCAACCCCGUCGAGCCGUUGAAACUGGCAGACUUGAGUUGGCGAGAGGUAGGCGGAAUGCGCGGUGUAGCGGUGAAAUGCAUAGAGAUCGCGAAGAACUCCGAUUGCGAAGGCAGCGUACCGGCGCCAGACUGACGCUGAGGCACGAAAGCGUGGGGAUCGAACAGGAUUAGAUACCCCGGUAGUC
rnacentral:rRNA from 1 species